UACGUAGGGACCAAGCGUUGUUCGGAUUUACUGGGCGUAAAGGGCGCGUAGGCGGCGCGGUAAGUCACUUGUGAAAUCUCUGAGCUUAACUCAGAACGGCCAAGUGAUACUGCAGUGCUAGAGUGUGGAAGGGGCAAUCGGAAUUCUUGGUGUAGCGGUGAAAUGCGUAGAUAUCAAGAGGAACACCUGAGGUGAAGACGGGUUGCUGGCCAACACUGACGCUGAUGCGCGAAAGCCAGGGAGCAAACGGG
rnacentral:rRNA from 1 species